AAAUAUCAACGAGUCGAUCAAGCCAAGGCACGGAUAUCUCGCUCUCUUUAAGGAGAUUCAAGCCCUCUGCGGUUGGCAAAGCCUUUAAACCGAUGCAGCAGAGCACCGACUUGUCCCCUCCAGGAUACAACGGCUCGACCCUCGUCGUGUGGCUUCACCAACUCUGCACAAGUAGAUGAGCCCAAAGCUCCACCAAAAGAAACACCUUUCUUUAACCUUUUCUUUCUCAAGUAGAAUAGAAAUAGCUUUAUAGUUUUUUGAGUUGUGUUUGAAUAGAGAAAAAGAGCUCUCUAUAUAUAGGCUCUAAAAAGUAUAGGUUACGAAGGAUAUAAAGUCAUAGGUUAGAUUUCAUUUA
rnacentral:lncRNA from 1 species